AUGAUUUUCUGUGUCUAUCUGCCUGCAAUUGACUCUUUUCUCCUUCCCUUCCCUCCCUUUCACUACCUUUCCUUUCCUUUCCUUUCCUUUCCUUUCCUUUCCUUUCCUUUCCUUUCCUUUCCUUACCUUUCCUUUCCUUUCCUUCCCUUCCCUUCCCUUCCCUUCCCUUCCCUUCCCUUCCCUUCCCUUCCCUUCCCUUCCCUUCCCUUCCCUUCCCUUCCCUUCCCUUCCCUUUCCUUCCCUUUCCUUCCCUUUCCUUCCCUUCCCUUCCCUUUCCUUCCCUUACCUUACCUUCCCAUCCCAUCCCUUUCUUUUUUUGACGUGACCUGUUCCAUAGUAUACUAAGUGUAGUGUUAAUCUUAGAGUCCCUGAGAUCAGGUGUGUUCAGGUGAGCUGUUUCCCUAAGGUUAAUCUUAUCAAAUCACACCAGGCCAGGCAGAUGUUUCUAGUUAAUCUCAUUGGAAUAUGAAGGGAUGACCCAAUGUCUAACAUAGUAGAGGUUUUCUUUUGGGAUGAAAUCAGGAUAAAAUAUAGCUUAAGAGUCUUGUAUCUAUUUAAACAAUCCUGCAGGCCACAUUUCUUUGACCUCUAAGGUUACUACUUCUGGGAAAUGCAAUCUCACAGCAUGUAGCUUUUGGUCAUUUCCUCCAUAUAUUUGUCAAAUGUCUAACCAUAUAACUCACCUAUUCAAGAAACUCCUGUGACUGCUAUACCUUAUGGGAAAAAAUGCACAUUAUUCAACUUAGUAUUUACAACCUUUCACAAGAUGAUUCCUGACUACAUAUUCCAGACUUUAUACAUUUUGCACACUUCACACACUCUCUGUGCAUCUGAAUUCAUCUUACUUACUGUUACCCCAAAUCACAAUUCAUCUACUAUAUCUGUACCUUUUCAGUCAGUCCUUUCAUACCUGGAAAUUGCUGUCACCUCCCUUCUGUCUCUCAGUCUCCAUUAAGGCUAAGCUCAAGUAGUAAUUUAUAGGGAAGACAUUCCUGAACCUCCUAAUUGUUAGUAUCCAUCCCCAAAAUAUUCCUAAAUCAUCUUAUCUUUACACAUCUAUGCACAAAGCUGUAUUUUAUCUUAAAAUACAAGCUCAGAGAUGGUAAGGGUAAAUUGUUUUUUUCAGUACCUAGGAUAGCAUUUUUUAUCAGAGAAGGCACUGAAUAAAUGUUUGUUUCUUUCUGUAAUUUGUUGAUAC
rnacentral:lncRNA from 1 species